rnacentral:rRNA from 1 species
GUCCACGCCCUAAACGAUGUCGACUGGUUGUUGGGGUUUGACACUCUCAGUAACGAAGCUAACGCGUGAAGUCGACCGCCUGGGGAGUACGGCCGCAAGGUUAAAACUCAAAGGAAUUGACGGGGACCCGCACAAGCGGUGGAUUAUGUGGAUUAAUUCGAUGCAACGCGAAAACCUUACCUACCCUUGACAUGUCCUGGAGGCGAAAGAGAUUUCGCUGUUCCCGAAAGGGAACGGGAACACAGGUGCUGCAUGGCUGUCGU